CGGCAAUUUAUCUGAAUUAUAUAACAUAAAUAUUUUAUGAACCUUAAAAACAAAUUUAUUCGGAUUUUUUGUCAUCUACAGGUAUAGUGGUACAGGAUUCUUUCUACAGACGUCAUUUGGUUUUCCAAGUCUGCCGAAUGCCUCAUUACCCAUUGGAACAUAGUAGAUAAAACAAUUGAUUGUGUUACAACCAAACCAACAUAUCUCCCAUUUGUAACUGAAAUUUAUGUAAUAAGACAGGAGUACUAUUCUACACUCUCAGCAUUAUAAAAUAACAUGCAGGACAUAUUCAACCAAAAACCGAACGCCCUACUUAGAGUGAUAAACAAAUACCAAGCCGAUGAGUGUAAAUCCUGGAAAAGUUUCGAGUAUUAAUUGCAGCACACUAUGGAGAAAAGUAUUUGCUGAUUAAUUUAGUCACAGUCUU